rnacentral:rRNA from 1 species
CCUACGGGAGGCUGCAGUGGGGAAUAUUGGACAAUGGGGGCAACCCUGAUCCAGCCAUGCCGCGUGUGUGAAGAAGGCCCUCGGGUUGUAAAGCACUUUCAGUGAGGAAGAACGCCUGGUGGUUAAUACCCAUCAGGAAAGACAUCACUCACAGAAGAAGCACCGUCUAACUCCGUGCCAGCAGCCGCGGUAAUACGGAGGGUGCGAGCGUUAAUCGGAAUUACUGGGCGUAAAGCGCGCGUAGGUGGCUUGAUAAGCCGGUUGUGAAAGCCCCGGGCUCAACCUGGGAACGGCAUCCGGAACUGUCAAGCUAGAGUGCAGGAGAGGAAGGUAGAAUUCCCGGUGUAGCGGUGAAAUGCGUAGAGAUCGGGAGGAAUACCAGUGGCGAAGGCGGCCUUCUGGACUGACACUGACACUGAGGUGCGAAAGCGUGGGUAGCAAACAGGAUUAGAUACCCGAGUAGUC